rnacentral:rRNA from 1 species
GACGAACGCUGGCGGCGUGCUUAACACAUGCAAGUCGAACGGAAAGGCCCUGCUUUUGUGGGGUGCUCGAGUGGCGAACGGGUGAGUAACACGUGAGUAACCUGCCCUUGACUUUGGGAUAACUUCAGGAAACUGGGGCUAAUACCGGAUAGGAGCUCCUGCUGCAUGGUGGGGGUUGGAAAGUUUCGGCGGUUGGGGAUGGACUCGCGGCUUAUCAGCUUGUUGCUGGGGUAGUGGCUUACCAAGGCUUUGACGGGUAGCCGGCCUGAGAGGGUGACCGGCCACAUUGGGACUGAGGUACGGCCCAGACUCCUACGGGAGGCAGCAGUGGGGAAUAUUGCACAAUGGGCGGAAGCCUGAUGCAGCAACGCCGCGUGCGGGAUGACGGCCUUCGGGUUGUAAACCGCUUUCGCCUGUGACGAAGCGUGAGUGACGGUAAUGGGUAAAGAAGCACCGGCUAACUACGUG